GCGUUAAAACAACGGUUCCUCUACGAUCAUCGAAGUUAAGCAACGUUGAGUCUGGUCAUUACUUAGAUGGGUAACCACUUCGGAAUACUACGUGCUGAA